CUAAGCUGACUUUAGGGUUGUUCCUAAGAAGAAUAAAUAGAAAAAUAGUGAUAGCUAAAAUUCUCAGAUAAUCCAAAAAAGAUGAGGGCCUUGAACUUCUGAACAUUUACUCAAAUGGUGAGCUGCAUUGGCUGGUGACCCACGGUGAAUGCAUCUGAAUGACAUCCUGCCACUCUGUGUCUCGUAUCG